GUUUACUUACAAAAAAUGUAUAACUGCACCAAAACCUAAAACAUGCAGGGAUAGAGUAGAGUACUCGAAAAUGGGGGGAGGGUACAGUAUAUGAAUGACCUGUAACCUUGGGGGGUUCGGGGGCAUGCUCCCCCGAGAAAAUUUUAAAAUUUGAACCUCGGAAAUGCUAUUUCCUGCGUUUUCAGCCAUGGAUUCGUCCACGACAACUUUGCUGUACUAAGCCUAAGGAACACUUACUGUCCUUUAUUUUAAACAAGGGAAAAUCACAAAAUGAGCUUUGAUUAAUAUGUAAUAAAACAAGAUUUCAAUAAUGCAAUUUUUAACUGCCCUCCGAAACAACAAUGUUCCACCAAAUAUAGCUCUGUAGCUUUUCAAUCGUUCAUACAGAUAGCUUGUUGGGGAUCGGGUUGCAUCCUCUUCAGAAAUUUUUUAAAAUCUAGACUCUCUAAACUGGCAUUUUCGCAUUAAAAUCAUCGUAUAUACAGUACGUUCAACUUGCAUCCUGUAGAUGGGC